AGAAGUGGGCAUCUGCUGACAUUGACGCAGAAGUAAGCUGCCAGCCGUGGGGUACUUUGCAUCUUAUCUCCGGAACAUCUAUCCUCCUUGACAGCCUUGGGUGUCAAGCU
ensembl:miRNA Gm22427 predicted gene, 22427